rnacentral:lncRNA from 1 species
UACGUAACAGGCUGUUAGAUUGGUAACCAACUGCUUUUAUAUGCGUAUCACCAGCUGGGCCAGAACAACAACUCCACAAAAACACUUUGUGCACCGAAGGAUUGAAUUUUGCACUUCUCAAACCAAUUAAGAUCGGUCAAGUGAGGUCAUUCUCAUCGAGAGUUUCUUCUUCCUUGGCCUCUUCCCCCUUCAGCUCCUUCAAUUCCCCUGUUGGCA